AGAAAARGCCCAAAAAAAAMCAAACAAAAACUUCRCCAAAAACAAACAAAAGAAUCCUAGCAAGCAAUGCAGAGAUAUAUAUAAGGACUUUGAAGAUGCACAAAUUGAGGCUKUGUGGUUAAAGAAGAAAAGCACAAUCCUGGUAGCCCUGAAGUUAGCUGUGAGAUUCUAGGGAUUGCCAGGUAAGUUGAUAAGAACAGCAGUUCUAACAGAAGCACAAAAGAAAACUUCAACUUAAAAAUGCUGGUUUGUUAUUUAAAAUGCUUAAUCGGUGAAUUGCUGUGGUUAAAAGAAUGAUUAGAAAGUACUCUGAGUUGUAUACUACAUAAAUGAGAGAUUGGGAAAAGUUAGCAGACUAAAUUAAUAGGGUAGAGAGUUUUGGAAAGUUACAAAGUAGGAGAAACUACAGGAAUAUGACAUUGUAAGUUCAAUUCUUCCUUUCCUGAAGGAGAAAAGCUUACUGCAAAACUAUUUCUUUGUUUCCUUGAAAUCUAGAGUUGACUACUUUUUUUCUGUCCCCUCCAGUACCAUCAUAUGAAUUUGCUAGUUCUAUAACUUGCUUCUUUAUUUUCAGACUUUGCCUGCCUCCACUAAGCCCAGCUCUUGUGUUCCUCCUCCAUGUUCCAUAAUUAAGGCACUCCAGGUGAGGGCAGGUGCUUCUUUCAUAUCUCGAUUGCAGCUCCAGAGGAAGCAACAUGCAUAGUCCAGCAACUCUGGAAGGAUUAAGGCCAUCACUGGAUUUUGAAUUUAUCCUGAAGACCAGCGGAGCAAACACSUCCCUGCCACCCUGCAAGGGCUCUGCUUGCACACCCCUGGGAGCUUUGCACUUGAUCUUUAUAGCAGCACUGAAAGGCAGCAAGGUCCUGGGGAAAGAGGAGGAUCAAGCAGCUCUUGUCUGGGAACCAGAAGGGUAAGAAAAGAUCCCAUUUUAUCUUUGUUCUCAUGGAAAGUGUCACAGGAUGUUUAAUGUCCUUUCUGAGCAAAGACCUGCUGUUUUCCAGAUCUUGCCCGAAAACACAUGCAGUAUUCAGCAGGCCACUUAGUUUAUCUUUCUUGGAUAAACAGAAGGCUGCUGGAAUUUGAAACGUGUUCCAAGAGUCUAGGGUCCAAAACUGCAUGAGGUUUUCCCCUCGUCUGGGSUUUUGAAUUGAGUUUGAAAACUUAAAGACUACCAAACAACAGCACGAUUCCUAACGGGCAUGAAGGGCUGGUGUAUGUAACAGAGUUCUGGUGUUUUUUCCACUCUUGAGUGUUGCCUGACUUUGGAACCGCUUAAAAAUAUCUUACGAAAUGCCUGAGAGCACUGAUCCACAAAUCCUGGUACUGACUUUGCCUCGACGGGAAGAAAAAAAAAAAUCUCUCUUAAUGCGACGAAAGCUCCCGUGGCACUGCUGAGACGCACUUUUCCGUGUUGGUGAAGGCACCACGAAGGAGAGACGCGGACUCCCUCCGAUCCAGCCUGACGGAGCCGGGCGAGGGGCAGCCAGGUGGGCGAG